rnacentral:lncRNA from 1 species
CGGAAGGGAAGAUAGACUCUUUAUGCUUUUCAUAAAGGUCUUCUAUUAGUUUUAAAUAUUCAACUCUUUCAAGUUGAUCAUUAGUAUUAGUAAAUUUUUCUUUCCAAUGUUCUAUAAGGGUUUUAUAGGACUGGAAAUCAUAUUCUUUUUGUUUAUCAUCUUUUUUAUGUUUUUUAUGUUUUUUUAUAAUUUUUUAACA